CACUAGAUGGCUGAAAGUAAGUAAUGGUCUCUUAAACCAAUUUAUAGUAAAUUGACACCUAC
rnacentral:tRNA from 1 species